UACGAAGGGGGCGAGCGUUGUUCGGAUUUACUGGGCGUAAAGGGCGCGCAGGCGGUCAUUUUUGUCGAGUGUGAAAGCCCCGGGCUUAACCUGGGAACUGCGCUCGAAACGGGAUGACUAGAGAUCGGGAGAGGAGAGUGGAAUUCCCAGUGUAGAGGUGAAAUUCGUAGAUAUUGGGAAGAACACCGGGUGGCGAAGGCGGCUCUCUGGACCGAUACUGACGCUGAGGCGCGAAAGCGUGGGGAGCAAACAGGG
rnacentral:rRNA from 1 species